AGAGUUUGAUCAUGGCUCAGAAUCAACGCUGGCGGCGCGCCUAACACAUGCAAGUCGAACGGGAAAGUGGGCAACCAUGAGUACAGUGGCGUACGGGUGAGUAGCACGUGGGUAAUCUACCUCUUAGUGGGGAAUAACCCUGGGAAACCGGGGCUAAUACCGCAUGAGCUCGAGAGAGGAAAGCAGCAAUGCGCUGAGAGAGGAGCCCGCGGCCGAUUAGCUAGUUGGUAGGGUAAAAGCCUACCAAGGCAAAGAUCGGUAGCCGGCCUGAGAGGGCACACGGCCACACUGGCACUGAAACACGGGCCAGACUCCUACGGGAGGCAGCAGUGGGGAAUCUUGCACAAUGGGGGAAACCCUGAUGCAGCGACGCCGCGUGAGCGAUGAAGCCCUUCGGGGUGUAAGGCUCUUUCGGCAGGGAAGAUGAUGACGGUACCUGCAGAAGCAGCUGCGGCUAACUACGUGCCAGCAGCCGCGGUAAUACGUAGGCAGCAAGCGUUGUUCGGAGUUACUGGGCGUAAAGGGUGUGUAGGCGGUUCUUUAAGUUUGGUGUGAAAUCUCCCGGCUCAACCGGGAGGGUGCGCCGAAUACUGAGGGACUCGAGUGCGGGAGAGGAAAGUGGAAUUCCUGGUGUAGCGGUGAAAUGCGUAGAUAUCAGGAGGAACACCGGUGGUGUAGACGGCUUUCUGGACCGUAACUGACGCUGAGACACGAAAGCGUGGGUAGCAAACAGGAUUAGAUACCCUGGUAGUCCACGCCCUAAACGAUGCAUAUUUGGUGUGGGCAGUUCAUUCUGUCCGUGCCGGAGCUAACGCGUUAAAUAUGCCGCCUGGGGAGUACAGUCGCAAGGCUGAAACUCAAAGGAAUUGACGGGGGCCCGCACAAGCGGUGGAGCAUGUGGUUCAAUUCGACGCAACGCGAGAACCUUACCUGGGCUCGAACGGGUAGUCAACGGAGGUGGAAC
rnacentral:rRNA from 1 species